rnacentral:rRNA from 1 species
AUUGAACGCUGGCGGCAGGCCUAACACAUGCAAGUCGAGCGGAUGAAGGGAGCUUGCUCCUGGAUUCAGCGGCGGACGGGUGAGUAAUGCCUAGGAAUCUGCCUGGUAGUGGGGGAUAACGUCCGGAAACGGGCGCUAAUACCGCAUACGUCCUGAGGGAGAAAGUGGGGGAUCUUCGGACCUCACGCUAUUAGAUGAGCCUAGGUCGGAUUAGCUAGUUGGUGGGGUAAAGGCCUACCAAGGCGACGAUCCGUAACUGGUCUGAGAGGAUGAUCAGUCACACUGGAACUGAGACACGGUCCAGACUCCUACGGGAGGCAGCAGUGGGGAAUAUUGGACAAUGGGCGAAAGCCUGAUCCAGCCAUGCCGCGUGUGUGAAGAAGGUCUUCGGAUUGUAAAGCACUUUAAGUUGGGAGGAAGAGCAGUAAGUUAAUACCUUGCUGUUUUGACGUUACCAACAGAAUAAGCACCGGCUAACUUCGUG